rnacentral:tRNA from 1 species
CGCGGGGUGGAGCAGUUGGUAGCUCGCCAGGCUCAUAACCUGGAGGUCAUUGGUUCGAGUCCGGUCCCCGCAA